UACGGGGGGGGCAAGCGUUGUUCGGAAUUACUGGGCGUAAAGGGCGCGUAGGCGGCGCAACAAGUCACUUGUGAAAUCUCCGGGCUUAACCCGGAGCGGUCAAGUGAUACUGUCGUGCUAGAGUGCGGAAGGGGCUACUGGAAUUCUCGGUGUAGCGGUGAAAUGCGUAGAUAUCAGGAGGAACACCGGUGGCGAAGGCGGUUCUCUGGACAUGUCCUGACGGCUGAG
rnacentral:rRNA from 1 species